CCCUUAGAUGUUCUGGGCCGCACGCGCGCUACACUGACGAAUGCAACGAGCUUAUAACCUUGGCCGAAAGGUCUGGGUAAUCUCCAAAUUUCGUCGUGAUGGGGAUAGAUUAUUGCAAUUAUUAAUCUUCAACGAGGAAUGCCUAGUAAGCGCAAGUCAUCAGCUUGCGUUGAUUACGUCCCUGCCCUUUGUACACACCGCCCGUCGCUCCUACCGAUUGAAUGGUCCGGUGAAGCGUUCGGACCGUGGCCUUUGGACGGUUCGCCGUCUGUCGGCUGCGGGAAGUUCGUUAAACCUUAUCAUUUAGAGGAAGGAGAAGUCGUAACA
rnacentral:rRNA from 1 species